CAGCAUAUUUCACUUCACCUUCCUGCAGCACAGAUUCUUGCUCAUAACUCAUCAAGGAAGAUGAGGAACAUGGUGCUGGUGUCUUUCCUGGGCUGGGAAG